UGUCUCCUCCAUGUCUCCACUGAUAUGGAUUCAGCCCGCCAACCUAGGCGGGCUUUUUUUC
rnacentral:ncRNA from 2 species